ensembl:lncRNA
GGCAGGUUUAUGGGGACAAUUAGUUUAAGUAGUGAACCCAAUUGUCAAAUAUGCGGGCAGCUGUGGCUCGGGUCCAGUGGAUAUGAUCCGGACCUGUGUGAAAGAGACCUGCUGGCAGCGCUGGGAUGUACUCACACAUUUUUGCAAUAGCAGUGUUCAGAUGUGUGAGGCGCAGUUUCUCCUUCGGGGGAAGAUCUCCGGAGAAGUUGACCUGUGGCACAAAAACGUCAGCAGAUGGAAAAGUCAGUUGAACGCUUCUGAGGGCCCUCUGCAGCUGUUUGAUGGCCGUCUCCUGUGUUUUUUGGACCCGGUUAUUAAUGCCGAAGGCCAAAAUGACCUUCUGCACCGUGACCUCAGAGGUCGUCUUGUUCAUCAGGAGAUCUGCGUUUCUGAAGGUGCCCCCUGGAAAAGCAUCCACCUGCAGAUCCUCGAUGUCGUGGGCUGGAAGUUUGUACACAU